UCCUCGUUGACCGAGGCAGUCUCGUAUGACAUAUGUAACAUACGACAAGGGUUGCGCUCGUUGCGGGACUUAACCCAACAUCUCACGACACGAGCUGACGACGGCCAUGCAGCACCUGUCACCGAGCUCCUUGCGGCACCCUCCUGUUUCCAGGAGGUUCUCGGGAUGUCAAGCCUGGGUAGGGUUCUUCGCUUAGCGUCGCAUUAAACCACACGCUCCACCGCUUGUGCGGGUCCCCGUCAAUUCCUUUGAGUUUUAAGCUUGCGCUCGUACUCCCCAGGCGGGGUGCUUAACGCGUUAGCUUCGACACACAAGGGGUCUAAUCCCCAUAUGCCUAGCACCCAUCGUUUACGGCGUGGACUAC
rnacentral:misc_RNA from 1 species